CGAAUGCGGAGCCACGCCCUAAAAUAACAUGUGACCACAAGGCGUUUGUGACGCAUUCAUGCGUUCCAACUUUGUCAUAAUUGUCUGUAGGUUCUAAAUUGCUUAUGAGCUUGGCUUCCCUUCAGAAAGUAGCUGAUUCUUGUACUUUACAGCUGUAUUUUCCUACAGUUACUAAUAAUACUAGCAACAAAACAGAUUUCAUUCCUUAAAAUGAUAUUGCCAGAUGGAAGAAAAUAAUAAGGUAGGCCUAAACUGUAAUAAGAUAUACCUUAAAGACUGCUUGUGUUUAAUCCUGAAUCCAGUUGCCCCUCUUGUACUGGGAUAAAACAAUAGGCAAGCCAUGAACCUUAUGGAGGAGUACAUGUGUUUUGUAGACACACCUGGGUUCUAGACUGGCUGAGGUAAACAUUUUAGGAAAGCCUGGGUUUUUAAUAUCGAAGUCAUUCUAAGGGGUAGGUUUGACAAAGCAAAUGAGUGAGUGAGUCUUUGACAUGAAGACAGUGGUUAGAUUCUGCCAUUGGGACUGCUCUGAUGUUUCCAUUCUCUCCUGGUUAUGACCAUAGAGCCUUGUCCCAGUCUCUAGACCUGCCUGUCUGUGUGAUGGAUGACCACCUGACCUCUGAAGCUGUCAAUGAGAUGGAGCAGAGCAAUUCUACCAGGAGCAGAGCAACCUCAGUGAUGGAAACCACAGAAGAGGGAAAGCUCAACAAUGUGGAACAUCUGACACUUAUGGACUUCCUUCAAAACCUAACUGAGAAGUAUGUUCUGUUUUCUUUGGUACUAUCACACCUUCAAGGAAAUAGGAUCAAAUUAGAAACUGAUCAAUCGGAAAAAAAUGUUCAGUGCUAGAAAAGUUGUCACAUUGCAAUUUUGCCAAAACAACUGACACAAAGCAAGUAUAACUUCACGAUCAGGCAAAUAAUUAAAUAAAAACUAUUCUGCCACGCAUCCUGAUAUGACAACAUUUAUAACAAUAUUGUUUUCAGGCAAUGGAGGGGGAUUCGUGAGGGCAUGUUUGACCCGGUAAGAUCAUGUUACUGACAAUUUAAUCAGAUUACCAUGAAAACUCUGCCUAAUGUUUAACCUUGUUCAUAAGCUUUUGAAAGACGCACUAUGCAACAUUUUAAAACACUUCUUCUGUUUCUGGAAUACAGCUGACAAAACAACAGCUUGCCGGCUUGUGUCUGAGGAUUGUCC
rnacentral:lncRNA from 1 species